GAUGAACGCUAGCGGGAGGCCUAAUACAUGCAAGUCGAACGAUACCAAGGGGCUUGCUCCCUGGAAAAGUGGCGCACGGGUGCGUAACGCGUAUGCAACCUACCUUUAUCAGGGGGAUAGCCCGGAGAAAUCCGGAUUAAUACCGCAUAAAAUCACAGGAUGGCAUUAUCCAAUGAUCAAACAUUUAUGGGAUAAAGAUGGGCAUGCAUGUCAUUAGCUAGUUGGCGGGGUAACGGCCCACCAAGGCGACGAUGACUAGGGGAUCUGAGAGGGUGGCCCCCCACACUGGAACUGAGACACUGACCAGACUCGUACGGGAGGCAGCAGUAAGGGAUAUUGGGCAAUGGGCGGAAGCCUGAACCAGCCAUGCCGCGUGCAGGAAGGCUGCCCUAUGGGUUGUAAACCGCUUUUAUCCGGGAAUAAACCUACUUACGUGUAAGUAGCUGAAUGUACCGGAAGAAUAAGGAUCGGCUAACUCCGUGCCAGCCGCCGCAGUAA
rnacentral:rRNA from 1 species